AUUUAAAUUUGUAUAUAAUUUUUUUUUAGUAAGCUAAGAUGAUUACAAGUAGUAUAUGUUCUAAAUACCCUCAACCAUUUGACAAUAAAUGUUUAAUCACCCUGCUGCAGCUGUUGGUGCUCGAACCCGUGAUCUCUAGGAACAACAACAAUUCCUUUAACCACUGAGAUGAGUUGGUUCGUG